rnacentral:tRNA from 1 species
GAAGAAUUAGUUAAUAUAAUAUAACACUUGAAUGUCAAUCCAGAAUAAUCAAUUUAUUGAUAUUCUUCA